rnacentral:lncRNA from 10 species
CUUCUCAAUCUCAUUCUCAGAAUGCCCUUGCUUGGGUCUAACCUCCCAGCAACUCCACCUCUCCUGCAGAAGACUCACAUUUACCAGCCCCUUUGCACAAGAGCUUAUGGCUUGUGAGUUGCCCCUUUUCACCAGACAACAAACAAGAAGCAGAGAAUGGCAUAACUGUAUCCAACCACCUGCUGGACAGUGUGUAGAAACCAUAUUGCACAACCACAUUUAGCCUCGAGCUGUCCUCCAACAACACUCCAUACUCUUCAAAACCAAUGUUCAUGACACUCAGCAAUCUCAAACUGGAACAACUGCUACAGUCCAUUUUUCACAGAAAUUUGGGUUCACAGUACAAGACAAGGCCUGGAAGUGGCAGCGAGAUAAGACACCUGGAAUGAACACAGAUCAUGCCUCCCUGGUGCUUUGGAUGCCUGGAAUGAGCACAGACCAUGCCUCCCUCGCGCUUUGAGCAGCCUCAAGUGUGCAUACAGCAAGAGGCUAACCGACUCUGAUGAGGAAACUGAAAAUCCAUCUGUAAACUCUACAGAAGCAUCGAGGAAAUCUAUCUUAUCACCCGUUAUGUAUCUAGUACUAACAAUGCCUAGCACAUGGUAGGUAUGCUGGAAAGAGCUGCUGAAUGAAUCAGUAAAUAAAUGAAUGAGAACCCAAGAGGAGAUAUGACUUGGCCAGUGUCACACAUGUUGACAUUUUGGCAGAGCUGGCAUGAGUGUCCUAACCCCAAAACCAGUGAGCUUUCCACCCUAGAGGAGUGGUUAAUUAAGAACAUGGACUCUGGAGCCAGACUGCCUGGGUUUCUACGCCAGCCCCACCACCUGCUAGCUUUGUGACUAUGAGCAGAUUAUGUAAUAUUCGUGAACCUCAUUUCCUUCUUCCAUAAAAUGGGAAUAAUCACAGUCCUGCUUCCAGAAAGCAGUUACAAGCAUAAAGUGAGGAAACACAUGUAAAGUAUUUAGAAAGUGCCCAGCUCUCAGGACGUGCUCAAUACACAAAGGCCACAAAUGAUAAGACAGGACUAAAUAAAGUAGUUCUUAAUUGCUCAGCAUUCUGUCUUUUUUUUUUUUUUUGACAUUGUCUUGCCUUGUCACCCAGGCUAUAGUGCAGUGUCAUGAUCUCAGCUUACUGCAAUCUCUGCCUCCCAGGUUCAAGGGAUCCUCCCAACUCAGCCUCCCAAGCAGCUAGGGUUACAGGCAUGCACCACCACACCUG